CGGCCCCAAGUCAGGCGAGACCACCCGCCGAGUUUAAGCAUAUAAAUAAGCGGAGGAGAAGAAACUUACGAGGAUUCCCCUAGUAACGGCGAGUGAACCGGGAUCAGCCCAGCUUGAGAAUUUGACGGUUGAAUCCGUUCGAGUUGUAGUCUGGAGAAGUGUCCUCAGCGACGGAUCGGGCCCAAGUCCCUUGGAACGGGGUGCCGGGGAGGGUGAGAGCCCCGUCUGGCUCGGACCAUGCCGCAUGACGAGGCACUGUCGUCGAGUCGGGUUGUUUGGGAAUGCAGCCCCAGUUGGGCGGUAAAUUUCGUCCAAGGCUAAAUAUUGGCGAGAGACCGAUAGCGAACAAGUACCGCGAGGGAAAGAUGAAAAGGACUUUGAAAAGAGAGUCAAAGAGUACUUGAAAUUGCCGCGAGGGAAGCGGAUGGGGGUCGACGGAGUGCUCCGGUCGGAUGCGGAACGGCUCUAGUCGGUCCGUUGCUCGACUUGGGGCAUGGACCGUUGCAGGCUACGCUGGCGGUCCAAGCCCGAACGCAUUGUGCGCGCUCGCGGCAUAUUGCCAGCGUGGUCGAGGAUGCGGCGCGCGCCAUUAUUGGCGUUCCACCCUGUGGCACUUGCACGCUCAAGGCAUCGGCCAGUGGGCUCCCCAUUCGACCCGUCUUGAAACACGGACCAAGGAGUCUGACAUGCAUGCGAGUCGGUGAGUUUGGAAACUCUGACGGCGCAAGGAAGCUGAUGGGUGGGAGCCCCUUUUUGCGGGGGUGCAUCACCGGCCGACCUAGAUCUUUUGUGAAGGGUUUGUGUUGGAGCAUGCCUGUCGGGACCCGAAAGAUGGUGAACUAUGCC
rnacentral:rRNA from 1 species